UCUACAAUGAUCACUAUGUGAAUGUAUAAUUUACCUACCAAUUUUCUGUUGUUUGUAACUGAGUUUUUUCCAUUUUUUCUGAUAUUAUAAAUUGUUCAACAGUGGAUAUCCUUGUAUGUAUUGUACUCUGUAUCUCUGAUUUAUUUGCACUUUGGAAUGUAAUUCUUGGAGAGAUUGCUACUAGUCAAAAGAUGUAGGCAAUCGGUAAAGUUGACCCUUGACUAGACUGCAGUACUAAGGGCCAUCACAGUCUUACCUAGACAGCAGCAGCAAGGAUUGGGAGAUAGUUUGGGGGGAUUCUCAAGUGCCUCAGAAAGCCAAAGUUCAAGAUUGUUGUGUAUAGGCAAAUAGCUUGUUUGUAGAACAGGCCAGUGGAUGGAGGAAAGUCCAUCAGAAAGGAAUGAGCUUGGCACACAUUCAGAAGAGCACCUUCUUAGCCAGGUGCAAGUGGCUUGUGUCUGUAAUACUAGCUACUCAGGAGGCUGAGAUUCAAAGGAUCAUGGUGCAAAUUCAGUCCAGGCAAAAAAGUCUAACAGACUUCACCUCCAAAAUA